CAUCACUAGGAAUGGCGAUCGCAGGACACAGGGUGCAAGGAGAAGGAUGACGGGGAGGAUGGGAGCAGAGGUGAGGAUGGGGACACCGUGAAGCAGCGGUUCUCGCAGCUGCUGCACUGCAAGAUGCAUCCGACAACAGCAGGCAUGGUGGUUUUCUCAUUGCCGCGCCGCGCCACCGAGGACUGCUUCCUACCUCUGUAUUACAGCCAGCAGUGACCGUCGCUGCCUCGCAGGAACUUGGCCAUCCAGCAGGCAGAAGCCAAAGAUCCGCCACAUCUAUCGAGGUUCAUCAAUGGAACCGCAGUUCUGGGAUCAUCUGAUCAACUUUGAGGACAUCAUUAAGCCUGAUAAAGGAUACUAUGUAUGCCGCUUGGACACAACUGAAUGUUCUUUCUUAGAAGGUUUCUCUUCUAGAAAUUCUGUUGCUGGGCAUAUCAUGAACUUAGCUAGCAGGCUUGGAAUGUGCCAGCUCAAGGUGCAUUGAUCUGGGGUUUGGGUUCAAUCCAUCCUCCCCUCCAAUACCAUUGCCAUAACGAAGGUACGUAUGCACCAGCCCCAACAUGAUUGCGGUUUGUUUGGUGGGGGAAGGCUAAUUCUGUAGGCUGUUAGUUUUUCCACAGCAUUAGAAUUCGAUUAGGGAGGAGGCAAUAGAGGCAUUUGGGACUUGUCUGGAGUGCAUGCUAUUCAAGGAUAACAAGCGGUGCUGGGGCUCAAGGUACGUAUCCAUCCACAUUUUGAUCUUAGUAUGUCUGAAAUUCCAUGGUGCUUCAUAUGAAAAUAAUAUCUCUGCAUCUUCAAGGUACAUAUCCAUCCACAAUUCAUUUGAGUUUUAGAAAACCUCAAACCGCUGUAGGCUGUGGCAAUAAUCUGGUAUACAUGUCACCUACCUACAUUGCAGAGAAUGUCCCUGUAGGCUGUGGUAAGCUAGCUUUCAUAAGUCGAUUCUGUUGGACAAACUUCGAUUAAUUGGUAAAUUCUGACUUUACUGGCUCUGGACGUUCUGAGUACUUUCUAAUAAUAUGGGAGCUAAGAGCCUAAGACUUGCUAUAAUGUUAUCUCAAACCGUCUCAACUAUAUUAUUUUAUUUGCAGGUCACUUAAUAGCAACCAUUUGACCGGACAGAUACCAGAAUUUAUUUGGAUUAUUUAUGCCAGCACAUCAAACUCUCUGUUUUUUACAAUCCAUUGUAGCUUAUUUUGCUCGGUUAUGCCGGUAACCACAUAAUCUUGAUCGGUCUGUCAAGUGUUGGAAUGCCAUGACCGUGCUGCAAUAUGAACAACAAGGUAUUUUGUUGCUUAUUAAUGUAGCAGUUUGUUGGUUAACUGCUUACUGAAAAUGUUCGGAUGCAGAUUCGAUUUUGUUGCAGA